GCGCUUGCUUCCCCAGCACAUCUGCUAAAACUGGAACAGCACAGAGAUUAGCAUGGCCCCCGCGCCAGGAUGACAUGCACAUUCGUGAAGUGUUCCAUAUUUAA
rnacentral:snRNA from 1 species